UUGGGUACAGACCUAUGCGAAUUGGCCCAGGUAGCAUAUCCGGGUGCUGCAGAAGGAGGUACAACAUGUAGUUGGAGAUCUCCUUGAUCACCUUUACAACAGGUUUCUCUGUAUGUUCCACCUCUUCUUUGAAACAACAUAGGUAGACAUCGGUUGCGACAUGCCACACAAGGAUGCUUUUUUCAAAGUCAAUGUCUACCGUGCUCCAGCUGAGUUCCUCAUCCAUUUUAUUCUCAUAGAGGAUGCACAUACGCCGUGCAUUCCUGAUGUCCCCUCGGCCUCUCUUUUGUAUCUCUUUUAGCACAAACUCCUUGAUAUCACUUGAAAUUGAGGUUGUGUUUGAGUAAUGCAGUUUAUUAAACCAGUUCUCAAGCCCCACUUUCAUGGCAAUCCUGCCUCUCAGAUCCGUCAUAUCACGGGUACAGAAAUCUAGCAAGUUAUAUUGUCCAAUAGAAUCCAGCCAUAAUCUACUUCGUCCUGCUUUCACAAUCUGACGAGUAAACAUUACAGAAUUGCAGGGCCAAUCCCAUUUCCUAGUAUGCAAGAACGCACAUGUCCAAGAAGACCCUACAGUCCUCAGCAAUGUUGUGAUCUCAAGGAGGAUAGCCCCGAUCAACAAAGCAUAAGUGACGGCAAAAUCAACUAUGUGAUAAGCAUCUCUCCUACUGAAAUGGAAUAGCAGCAGUGCAGCAACUGUGGCAGGUAGUGAAAAGACUCGAAUGCAACGGCCAUACCAGGUGUGUAUAACCGCUGCCUUGCUGUAUAAAAUGUCAUACAUGAGGGAUAGCUCCAUCUCGAUUAACCUGUACAUGUGCUUUCCACCAUCAAUUUGCAUGGCUUACUCGACAGCACUUCUUUGGGGCUCUGACAUCGAAAGAGCAUCAACGAAUAGGCUCUUGCAAAAAUCGAACAUGUAAUGAGCACCCAACAGAGCCUGCUUUAGAUCUCUGUUCAUCCUCUCUUUUCUGGCCUGCUCAAGGUAAGGAUUGUGAGCACUUGAAUCAUCUAAAAAAUCAAGAGAGCUUCGGAUGCUGUCCAUGUUAGCACACAUGAAUGCCCAUACCCUCUUCCCAUACUUGACAACACCGACGGCAAACAUUAGGAUGAUGGCCUCGACCAAAGUCCUACUGCCGGCAAUGUAUCUGUAGAGAACAUAAGCAACACCCAACACCUGCACUGUGAAAGUUAACAGGUGGCGCAACCAGAGCUGGUUGUCCUCCAAGGAAUAAGCUGUGAUGUUAUCCGGGCCACCCAGGUGAAGUAAGAGGAAUGUUGCCCAGAACGCAUUCAGCAGGUGCUCACGUGAGCUGCUGCUUGUGGUCAUGGAUAGCUGGCCAAGCGUGUAGAUGGCAGUGGAGUCAGCAGAUAGAUAGGAAAGCCAUAGGAUGAUCCUUAACACUUUGUAACCUUUGUGUCGACGGAUCCAUGACAAGAGGUGGAGGAUAACUUGUAGAGUGAAGCUGAGGAUGAUUAGUAUUUGAAUUUGCCACUCUUUCCAGAGUUGAGCUAGUCCUCCGGCCAU
rnacentral:sRNA from 1 species